rnacentral:lncRNA from 1 species
GAUCUUUCUGUCCAUCUCUAGAAUCUUAAAGAAUCAUCUUUGGACCUCUUCAGGUUGAUUUAAAACAUUCCAAAUAUCCUUUUUCUAAACUCAUUCAAACUAACUAAAAUUGGCGGUUAUCCUCUGACCCGAUGAGGUGUUCCAUGCCCCAGCCCGUGCCCUGUGCGCGCCUUACCUGCCCCGCCGCGUGGCCCCCAUGCUGCAGCCGCACCCCGGGCCGAGCGUGUGCCGGGGACCCCGCAAAGGCUGUGGCAUCGCGGCUUCAGUGUUCCCUGCGGAUGCUGAGUUCGGAGCCCGUCCGGGAGCUUCACCGAAGGAAACUCGAGGAGGAACGGCCACCACCCUGGAAGUUCACACAGAGCCGAGCCCGCCCACAGUGCUGCUGGGUAGGCCUCCAUGUAUGAAUGCCGUGUCCCAGGCGAGAAUACCUACCGAAAAGGCUGCUGCUGCCCCACCGCGUGUGACGUCUUUCGGAUGGAAGAGCACAGGUGAUCGUGGAUCCUGGAGUGCGUGGCUCGUGGCGCAGAUGCCGUUCCAGAAGCCAAGGCCUCCCGCCGGGUCUCGCCUGGUGUGGCGAGAAACAGCGAGUCACCGAUUGUUGCUAAAAGUCUGA